GUGGGGAAUCUUCCGCAAUGGACGAAAGUCUGACGGAGCAACGCCGCGUGAGUGAUGAAGGUCUUCGGAUUGUAAAGCUCUGUUAAUCGGGACGAAAGAGCCUAGUGUGAAUAAUGCUAGGAAGUGACGGUACCGGAAUAGAAAGCCACGGCUAACUACGUGCCAGCAGCCGCGGUAAUACGUAGGUGGCAAGCGUUGUCCGGAAUUAUUGGGCGUAAAGCGCGCGCAGGCGGAUCUGCCAGUCUGUCUUAAAAGUUCGGGGCUUAACCCCGGGAUGGGAUGGAAACUACAGAUCUAGAGUAUCGGAGAGGAAAGUGGAAUUCCUAGUGUAGCGGUGAAAUGCGUAGAUAUUAGGAAGAACACCAGUGGCGAAGGCGACUUUCUGGACGAAAACUGACGCUGAGGCGCGAAAGCCAGGGGAGCGAACGGGAUUAGAAACCCCAGUAGUCC
rnacentral:rRNA from 1 species